rnacentral:tRNA from 3 species
GGGGUCGUAGUUCAGUUGGUUAGAACGCCUGCCUGUCACGCAGGAGGCCGCCGGUUCAAGUCCGGUCGACCCCGCCA